UUCCUCCGACCCGGAUCCCCUGUUUUUCCGGUCUCCACACGGCGUGAGCACCAACCAACCAUGCGACCGGCGGGCUCGACGGAGUCCUCCCCGGCGGCGCGACAGCGCAGCCCCAGGCAUGCGGCCACAUCCAGAGGCCACGGCACCAGGCACUCGGAGGCGUACGGCUUCGUGGGGUCCAUUGCCGCGUCCGCCACCGCGCUCGCGUACAUCGCGUGGGCGUACGUGCCGGAGCAGUGGCUCUGCCACAUCGGCGCGACCUACCACCCCAACAAGCGCUGGGCGGUGGCCGUUCCGGCGUUCCUGGCGGUGGCCGUGGCGCAGGGAGUGGUCCUGUACGUCGCGUCCAACUUCCUCCUCGCUCCUCCGCCGGCUUGCUUCAACACCAUCUCCGAUGAACACGCCCGGGAGCCGGCGUCUUCUCUGCGGACGGGGGAAGAUCAAGCCAUCGAGCCCAUCUCGGACAUCGGCAUUGACCGGAUAAACCAUCUCAUGUUUGACGAGCAA
rnacentral:rRNA from 1 species